rnacentral:misc_RNA from 1 species
GAUGAAGAACGUAGCGAAAUGCGAUACGUAAUGUGAAUAGCAGAAUUCAGUGAAUCAUCGAGUCUUUGAACGCACAUUGCGCCCCCUGGUAUUCCGGGGGGCAUGCCUGUCCGAGCGUCAUUGCUGCCCUCAAGCACGGCUUGUGUGUUGGGCCUCCGUCCUCCUCCCGGGGGACGGGCCCGAAAGGCAGCGGCGGCACCGCGUCCGGUCCUCGAGCGUAUGGGGCUUCGUCACCCGCUCUUGUAGGCCCGGCCGGCGCUUGCCGACACAUCAAUCUUUUUUCCAGGUUGACCUCGGAUCAGGUAGGGAUACCCGCUGAACUUAAGCAUAUCAAUAAGCGGAGGA